ACGUGACGGGGCUCCGGCUGGGCCGGCGGGUUCUUCAUCCCCGGGGAUGAUCGAGUUCAUCAAAGUGGAAAACUUAAGGCGGUCUUCGUCGGGCUGAUACUUCCUGCUUUAUUGAAUGUUGAUAUUAAAUGCUUACCUCCGGAAUUAUUUUUUGAGGUAUCGACUUUAGAUUAAAAGCCUAACAAUUCUUACCUUUCCCGUGGGCUGCCUGGCUCCCCGCGCGGUUCAACGCGAGCAGCGCCAGUGAGGGGACCUGUCGCGUGUCCUGCUCAGCGCGGUGUCCCACGGGCGCGUCCACAGCCCGGGGCGUCCAGGGGCUGCAGCGGUGCGAGCUGCUCUAGAGACGGAGGGCCCGGCCGGAGACCAGGGGCCGGCGGUUUCAUCCUGCGCUGACCCUUGCCAACGACGUGGCUGGUCCUGGGGAUCACAGGGCUUCGCUCAUCCCAUCUUCCUCCAUAUCCCCAAGGUGGAAACAAGGGGGCGAGAUGUCCACAAACUGAGGAACAGACAAAAUGCUGGCUGUCCAUGCAGUGGAGUGUGAGUCAGUCAUCAAGAAGAGUGAAGUUCAGACCCAUGCCACAACAUGGGUGAACCUUGGAAACAUACUAAGUAAAGCAAGCCAAUCGCAAAAGGACAAAACCUGUGCGACUCCAUGCUAUGGACCGAGUUCUGUCCCCCUAACAUUUGUAUGUGAAGCCUUAAUCCCCAAUGUGACUGUGUUUGCAGAAAGGGCCUUUAGAGAAGUAAUUAAGGUUAAAUGAGAUUAUAAGGGUGGGGUCCUGAUCUGAUAGGAUUAGUGUCCUUGGAAGAGGUACCACAGGCCUGGCACUGUGGCUCACACCUGUAAUCCUAGCACUUUGGGAGUCCAAGGUGGGAGGACCACCUCCUCCAGGAGUUUGAGACCAGCCUGGGCAACAAAGCAAGACCCCUGUCUCUACAAAAAAAUUAACAGGGCACCGUGGUGCGUGCCUGUAGUCCCAGCAACUUGUUAUGGUUACGUAAGAGGAAUGUGAAUUCAACCCUGGUGAUUUUGGGUCGUGUCAGGAGCAGCCCUGCGACACCAGUUGGCACCUUCUGCAGACUCUAUGUGUCGAUAAGACAAGGUCCCACCCAGCAAGUGCCCUUUUCUCAGCUGAUGAACAUAAGCCUGCAUGGACGUUACUGUCCAUGGAAAGGAGCGGCCGGCACCGGCUGUGACAGACACGUGCCUGUCUGCGAUCUGAGUUUCAUGAACAGUAAACUCUGUUGGUCACAGCCUCUUUGGAAAACAAUGUUAGUUAAAAGAAGUGCCCUGUGACCAGCAGUGCCACCCUCGACAGGGUUCUCCAAGUGGGACCCGGGCAAGCAGCCUCAGUAUCACUAGGGGUUGUUAGCAAUGUGCCUUCCUGGGCUCUGCCCCAGAGUGGCCGCACCAGUGACUGGGAGUGAGGUCCCAGGGCCCUGUGGUCCAUGAAGAGCUCUCAGGGGAUUCUGAUGCCCAGUGGUACAGGUGGGCCACCGGACUGGGGUGUCAUCUGCCCGUGGGCAUGAGACAUGAACAAGGACAUAGCAGACCUCACUGAAGAUCCCCCUACCCCAGGCUCAAGUCAGAGAGAGAGGAGGUGGCAGUGCCGGAAUUUCAGCUGCGCAUCCGUCCCAGCUCUGCACUGCGGGCGUCCGUCCCAGCUCUGCACUGCGUGCGUCCCGCCCUGGCUGGAGCUUGCAGACGGCAGCCCUGCAGGAACCCACCGGGGCUGACUCCUUCCUCCCCAGAUCCCACAAAACAGCAGUGGAUCUCCACUCGGCACGCAUUCCCCUCUACAUUCACACGAAGUGUCUUUUAAUGGAAAGUGUAUAAACUCGUUAAUUUUGGUUACUGCACUGAAGUUAGGCAAGCUUCUGCAGCUUUAUUAAAUGACCAAUGCUGUCCCUCCUGAGUGUGAAAUUAACUCACUUUUCCUUUUUUUUUUUUGGGGGGAUGGAGUCUUGCUCUGUCACCCAGGCUGGAGUGCAUGGUGCCAUCUCAGUUCACUGCAAGCUCCGCCUUCCGGGUUCAUGCCAUUCUCCUGUCUCAGCCUCCCGAGUAGCUGGGAC
rnacentral:lncRNA from 10 species